rnacentral:rRNA from 1 species
AUUGAACGCUGGCGGCAUGCCUUACACAUGCAAGUCGAACGGCAGCACGGGUGCUUGCACCUGGUGGCGAGUGGCGAACGGGUGAGUAAUACAUCGGAACGUACCUUAUCGUGGGGGAUAACGCAGCGAAAGCUGUGCUAAUACCGCAUACGCCCUGAGGGGGAAAGCGGGGGAUCGCAAGACCUCGCGCGAUUAGAGCGGCCGAUGCCUGAUUAGCUUGUUGGUGGGGUAAAAGCCCACCAAGGCGACGAUCAGUAGCCGGUCUGAGAGGACGAUCAGCCACACUGGGACUGAGACACGGCCCAGACUCCUACGGGAGGCAGCAGUGGGGAAUUUUGGACAAUGGGGGCAACCCUGAUCCAGCAAUGCCGCGCGAGUGAAGAAGGCCUUCGGGUUGUAAAGCUCUUUUGUCAGGGAAGAAACACCGGCUCUAACACAGUCCGGGAAUGACGGUACCUGAAGAAUAAGCACCGGCUAACUACGUGCCAGCCGCCGCGGUAA